rnacentral:lncRNA from 1 species
CGGCAAUGUGGGUUUGUCAGUUGUAACAAAUGGACUACUAUGGUGGAAUAUAUUGAUGAUGGUUAGGCUAUAUAAGUGGUGGUAGAGGGGAAGAGAUUUGUAGGAAAGUUCUACAUUUUUCUCUCAAUUUUGCUCUGAACUUAAAACUGCUCUAAGGAAUAAAAUUGAUGAAUAAAUAAUGAGUUGAGCCCAAGCAUGCUAAAAUUUAAAGAACUUUUUAACUAAACUGUAUUUAAUAUUGUCAACUUCUGGCUUGAUGGCUUUGUGACAGUUUGAGCCUUCUGUGUGCUUGAUGAAAGAAGAAAUGGCUAUUUCCAUUGAAUAUGUGGGUCACAGUGAACAGCCUCAAGAACAUUCUGGAAAUCUGAAAGGAAAACAGGUUUGUGAAUUCACUUGCCUUGCAGUUAAAUCCUGUUAACAUUAUUAAGACUUAUUUCAUGGCCAAG